rnacentral:rRNA from 1 species
CGGAGGGUGCGAGCGUUAAUCGGAAUAACUGGGCGUAAAGGGCACGCAGGCGGUGACUUAAGUGAGGUGUGAAAGCCCCGGGCUUAACCUGGGAAUUGCAUUUCAUACUGGGUCGCUAGAGUACUUUAGGGAGGGGUAGAAUUCCACGUGUAGCGGUGAAAUGCGUAGAGAUGUGGAGGAAUACCGAAGGCGAAGGCAGCCCCUUGGGAAUGUACUGACGCUCAUGUGCGAAAGCGUGGGGAGCAAACAGGAUUAGAUACCCUGGUAGUCCACGCCCUAAACGAUGUCGAUUAGCUGUUGGGCAGCUUGACUGCUUAGUAGCGAAGCUAACGCGUGAAAUCGACCGCCUGGGGAGUACGGUCGCAAGAUUAAAACUCAAAGGAAUUGACGGGGAUCCGCACAAGCGGUGGAUGAUGUGGAUUAAUUCGAUGCAACGCGAAGAACCUUACCUGG